UAGAGUUUGUGUAGGAUAUUUGUAUAGUGUGUGUGUAUAGUGUAUUUGUGUGUGGGGUUGCCAGGUGCUUCAGUCUCAUUUGUUCACAGCAUGAAAAAGAGUUUCCCAGAGGGUUUCCCUAAGAGAUUUCAGCAGUCCAACAGCUGCCACCUGGCUGUUUCUAAGGCAACUGACCAGACCACCUUCAGCAAGCACACCUGAGAGAAGGAGAGCGGGGGAGACAAGAUACUACAGACUCUGUCAGGAUGGGCUACGAUCUAGAACGUUUUGUAGGCUAUGUGAACGAGGGUCUGCUGUGCUGUGUGUGUCGGGACGUGUUAGAAGAUCCUUUGCAGGCUCCGUGUGAACAUGCCUUCUGCAGCUCCUGCAUUCAUGGAUGGCUCAUCCACCAUAACAACUGUCCAGAGGACCGCAUGCCUUUAGACAUCACACAUCUACGCCCACUAUU